rnacentral:snRNA from 1 species
AUCGCUUCUCGACCUUUUGGCUAAGAUCAAGUGUAGUAUCUGUCCUUAUCAGUUUAAAAUGCAUGGAUGUAUACAGUUUGAUGAGUUCUGACAAAUGUAUAUACCCCAUGUAACCAAUACCUAAGUUAAGAUGUUGGACACUUC